rnacentral:rRNA from 1 species
AUGAACGCUGGCGGCGUGCCUAAUACAUGCAAGUCGCGCGAACAGACGAGGAGCUUGCCCCUCUGACGUUAGCGGCGGACGGGUGAGUAACACGUGGAUAACCUACCUAUAAGACUGGGAUAACUUCGGGAAACCGGAGCUAAUACCGGAUAAUAUAUUGAACCGCAUGGUUCAAUAGUGAAAGACGGUUUUGCUGUCACUUAUAGAUGGAUCCGCGCCGCAUUAGCUAGUUGGUAAGGUAACGGCUUACCAAGGCGACGAUGCGUAGCCGACCUGAGAGGGUGAUCGGCCACACUGGAACUGAGACACGGUCCAGACUCCUACGGGAGGCAGCAGUAGGGAAUCUUCCGCAAUGGGCGAAAGCCUGACGGAGCAACGCCGCGUGAGUGAUGAAGGUCUUCGGAUCGUAAAACUCUGUUAUUAGGGAAGAACAAAUGUGUAAGUAACUAUGCACGUCUUGACGGUACCUAAUCAGAAAGCCACGGCUAACUACGUG